GAGGGUUGGGAAUGUUAUUAUUCUUGGUAGGGUGAAGCCUACCAAGACGAUGAUGUUUAGCGGGGCCAAGAGGUUGUACCGCCACACUGGGAUUGAGAUACGGCCCAGACUCCUACGGGAGGCAGCAGUAAGGAAUAUUCCACAAUAAGCGAAAGCUUGAUGGAGCGACACAGCGUGCAGGAUGAAGUCUUUCGGGAUGUAAACUGCUGUUGUAAGGGAAGAAAAAACUAGAUAGGAAAUGCUCUAGUCUUGACGGUACCUUAUUAGAAAGCGACGGCAAACUAUGUGCCAGCAGCCGCGGUAAUACAUAGGUCGCAAGCGUUAUCCGGAAUUAUUGGGCGUAAAGCGUCCGUAGGUUUUUUGUUAAGUUUAAAGUUAAAUGCUAAAGCUCAACUUUAGUCCGCUUUAGAUACUGGCAAAAUAGAAUUAUGAAGAGGUUAGCGGAAUUCCUAGUGGAGUGGUGGAAUACGUAGAUAUUAGGAAGAACACCAAUAGGCGAAGGCAGCUAACUGGUCAUAUAUUGACACUAAGGGACGAAAGCGUGGGGAGCAAACAGGAUUAGAUACCCUGGUAGUCCACGCCGUAAACGAUGAUCAUUAGUUGGUGGCAAAAGUCACCUAACACAA
rnacentral:rRNA from 1 species